rnacentral:rRNA from 1 species
GAUGAACGCUGGCGGCGUGCUUAACACAUGCAAGUCGAACGAAGCACUUUAUUUGAUUUCCUUCGGGACUGAUUAUUUUGUGACUGAGUGGCGGACGGGUGAGUAACGCGUGGGUAACCUGCCUUGUACAGGGGGAUAACAGUUGGAAACGGCUGCUAAUACCGCAUAAGCGCACGGCAUCGCAUGAUGCAGUGGGAAAAAGUCCGGUGGUAUAAGAUGGACCCGCGUUGGAUUAGCUAGUUGGUGAGGUAACGGCCCACCAAGGCGACGAUCCAUAGCCGACCUGGGAGGGUGCCCGGCCACAUUGGGGCUGAGGCACGGCCCAAACUCCUACGGGAGGCAGCAGUGGGGAAUAUUGCACAAUGGGCGAAAGCCUGAUGCAGCGACGCCGCGUAAGCGAAGAAGUAUUUCGGUAUGUAAAGCUCUAUCAGCAGGGAAGAUAAUGACGGUACCUGACUAAGAAGCACCGGCUAAAUACGUG